UCAAAAGUGAAAGCUAAAUUUGAAUGGCCAUGAUGAAGAAAGGUGGUAUUUGGACGUUUUUAUUGCUAUGAAAUAGCUUUGGGAGCGCUUUUCUUGUUGUUCUUGUAAAGGAUAUGUUUAAAUUCACAAUUUAGGAAGAAAAAACCUCAUGAGCUUGAAAUAAAAAAGAAAUAUUCACAUGGUACCUGACCAGGAUGGCCUGAUUUAUAACAGUGGUUAGUUUUAUCAUCUUGUUCAAUAAACAAAGUCCUAUUGAAGAUCCCAAUGGCUUUACCAUCAGGAUAUCUCGAUGCUCUGGGUACAUUCCAUCUCGUUUUACAUAUUUGUAUUCGAGAAACGAAUCUUGAUAAACUGGGGAUUCCUCGUCGAAAUUUAAUGGGAUUGCUCUGAAGGAUGGCAUACUUAAACCAGGAUCCACAAGAUGAAUAUCACCAGGGUUAACAAGAUCUUUCACAAUGGUAAUUACAUGGACGUCAACUUUUACAUGGGUUAUGGUAGCCAGAGAGAGGUAUGUGUUAAAACCAAGUACAGUUAACAAGCGUGAGGUAAACGUGUUGAUAAUACCACAGUGACCACCUGGCCCUGACAUGCACCAUUUUUCAAUAUCAGAAAAAUCUGUGACCUU